rnacentral:rRNA from 1 species
GGCCAACGGGGAGCUACCAUGCAGUCGUGGGGCAGCACGGUGUAGCAAUACACUGGUGGCGACCGGCGCACGGGUGAGUAACGCGUAUGCAACCUGCCCUGUACAGGGGGAUAGCCCGGAGAAAUUCGGAUUAAUACCCCAUAAAGAUAUCGAGAGGCAUCUUUUGAUAUUUAAAGCUUCGGCGGUACGGGAUGGGCAUGCGUGACAUUAGCUAGUUGGUAGGGUAACGGCCUACCAAGGCUUCGAUGUCUAGGGGUCCUGAGAGGGUGAUCCCCCACACUGGUACUGAGACACGGACCAGACUCCUACGGGAGGCAGCAGUGAGGAAUAUUGGUCAAUGGGCGACAGCCUGAACCAGCCAUCCCGCGUGAAGGAAGAAGGCGCUAUGCGUUGUAAACUUCUUUUCCAGAGGAAUAAAAUUUCGUACGUGUACGGAACUGAAGGUACCCUGGGAAUAAGCAUCGGCUAACUCCGUGCCAGCAGCCGCGGUAAUACGGAGGAUGCGAGCGUUAUCCGGAUUCAUUGGGUUUAAAGGGUGCGUAGGCGGACUUAUAAGUCAGUGGUGAAAACCUGCAGCUUAACUGUAGACGUGCCAUUGAUACUGUUAGUCUUGAGUAUGGUCAAGGUAGGCGGAAUGUGUAAUGUAGCGGUGAAAUGCUUAGAUAUUACACAGAACACCGAUUGCGAAGGCAGCUUACUGGGCCAUUACUGACGCUGAUGCACGAAAGCGUGGGGAGCGAACAGGAUUAGAUACCCUGGUAGUCCACGCCGUAAACGAUGAUCACUCGCUGUUGGCGAUACACAGUCAGCGGCUAAGCAAAAGCAUUAAGUGAUCCACCUGGGGAGUACGGCCGCAAGGCUGAAACUCAAAGGAAUUGACGG